CGCGAUUCUAUCGAACCCGAACGGGUUCUGUCGGCGCUGCUUGGAAAGCCGGAGGAUAGAGAAAAGGCAGUAGUCCGCUAUCGACAAUUUGACGCUGCGCGCCAUCCGCGGUGUGCACCGACGCAGCCAGCCGAAGACCUUUCCUCCUUCGAGUCUCGAGACUCGUCGCACUUGUUUAUUUAUUUUUAUUUUCCCCGAUUUUUUGCCUUUUUCACCCAAAGAGAGGAGUAAACCAAAAAUAGAGUGGAGUCGCGCGACCAAAAUUAAAAAGGAAGGAAGAGGAAACAAAGAAUCAUCAUCAACAACAACAACAUCAUCAUCCUGAUUCCGUUUCGGAUCAGCCACCGUCCGUAGUUGCAAUCGUUUUACUAGAAGUGGAAGGCAUCAUCAUCAUCACAUCACACACGAACACCACACGCUCGACGAUACAAUUUUGGUAUGCGGGUCGUCGCGCGUUCUAACGUUUCGGGCCUCAGUUCCAGUGAUGAUGAAACAGCUAUAACAGAAGAAGUUCCUUCGAUAUUUCACGAAACGAAUCAUCAAAGAAAUUCUUGAAUGGAAGCUGAAAUACCAAUAGAGAAAGACGAAUAGCAUUAAAAAAAAAUACCGACGUUCCUUACGCUGUGACACAACAAAACAAACAAACAAACAAGUAAAAAAAAAAAGAAGUAUAUAACAAAUAGGAUUUAACAAAGUGAUUUUCUCGGGAAGACGAGGAAAUAACAAAAUAAAAAAAAAGAUAUAUAUUUUUUUUAUGUGGAUUAUCGAAUAUUUGAAAUAGUGAGAACUUCCAGAGUGCAAUUUGGAUUCAAUACCACACAUGGCCAGUGCGUAGCAUAGUCAUUCAUAUCCAAGGAGCAGAAAAUCGCCUUGAUACGCCCUUUUGGAUACGUGCGUCUCGCAUCGGUGCUUACCCAACUCCUCAAGGUCAGUAUCAUUAUAGUACGCACAACCAUUUAUCGCAUAUGGUAAAUACGGAUAAUCAAAUUAGGAGUAACAAUAAAAUCAGUAAAGAAACAAUAGGUUUAAAAAUAGGUGUAAUUUGCCAAUA